rnacentral:tRNA from 1 species
GAGAUUUGAAAUUCGAAAGCAAACUUCUAAUUUGUCUUUAAAGCAGUGUAAUUCUGUUUAUUCUCUAU